GAUGAACGCUGGCGGCGUGCUUAACACAUGCAAGUCGAACGAAGCAUUUUUGAAAGCUUGCCUUUGGAAAUGACUGAGUGGCGGACGGGUGAGUAACGCGUGGGUAACCUGCCUUAUACAGUGGGAUAACAGUUAGAAAUGACUGCUAAUACCGCAUAAGCGCACAGUACCGCAUGGUACAGUGUGAAAAACUCCGGUGGUAUAAGAUGGACCCGCGUCUGAUUAGCUAGUUGGUGAGGUAACGGCUCACCAAGGCAACGAUCAGUAGCCGACUUGAGAGGGUGAUCGGCCACAGUGGGACUGAGACACGGCCCAAACUCCUACGGGAGGCAGCAGUGGGGAAUAUUGCACAAUGGGGGAAACCCUGAUGCAGCGACGCCGCGUGAGUGAUGAAGUAUUUCGGUAUGUAAAACUCUAUCAGCAGGGAAGAUAAUGACGGUACCUGACUAAGAAGCUCCGGCUAAAUACGUGCCAGCAGCCGCAGUAAUAC
rnacentral:rRNA from 1 species